UUGUUUGGUUCUUGUUGGUUGUCAGUUAAGGUGAUGGGCCAAUAGAGAAUUUAUUUUAAUUUUAAUUUUUUUUCUAGUGUUAGAAAGGGAUAGGUAGGUAGGAUUUUUUUCCUUUCUUUAUAGUAGCGAUGGAUACUCUAUUUUUUUUAAUAACACAGCCUACCUGGACUACAUGUACAGCUGUCGUUAGUAAAUUGAAAACUUGGUGAGAUUUUUUCAGGGCCUGGGUAUCAAUCAUAGUUGUGAAGUUGUCAUAAACUUCACUGCUGUUAGCCACCUCCACUAAACCACAGGGACUUGCUGUAACGUUAAAGAACUCUAAAGGGUGUUUACCUUUCAUUUGGUCGUGUUUG